AGAGUUUGAUCCUGGCUCAGGACGAACGCUGGCGGCGUGCCUAAUACAUGCAAGUCGAGCGAAUCUUGAGGGGCUUGCCCCUUGAGAUUAGCGGCGGACGGGUGAGUAACACGUGGGCAACCUGCCUGUAAGACUGGGAUAACACCGGGAAACCGGUGCUAAUACCGGAUAAUUCUUCACCUCUCAUGAGGUGAAGCUGAAAGUCGGUUUCGGCUGACACUUACAGAUGGGCCCGCGGCGCAUUAGCUAGUUGGUGAGGUAACGGCUCACCAAGGCGACGAUGCGUAGCCGACCUGAGAGGGUGAUCGGCCACACUGGGA
rnacentral:rRNA from 1 species